rnacentral:rRNA from 1 species
GAGUCUCGUAGAGGGGGGUAGAAUUCCAGGUGUAGCGGUGAAAUGCGUAGAGAUCUGGAGGAAUACCGGUGGCGAAGGCGGCCCCCUGGACGAAGACUGACGCUCAGGUGCGAAAGCGUGGGGAGCAAACAGGAUUAGAUACCCUGGUAGUCCACGCCGUAAACGAUGUCGACUUGGAGGUUGUGCCCUUGAGGCGUGGCUUCCGGAGCUAACGCGUUAAGUCGACCGCCUGGGGAGUACGGCCGCAAGGUUAAAACUCAAAUGAAUUGACGGGGGCCCGCACAAGCGGUGGAGCAUGUGGUUUAAUUCGAUGCAACGCGAAGAACC